rnacentral:rRNA from 1 species
UACAGAGGUCCCAAGCGUUGUUCGGAAUUAUUGGGCGUAAAGGGCGCGUAGGCGGCGCGACAAGUCACCUGUGAAAUCUCCGAGCUUAACUCGGAGCCUGCAGGCGAAACUGUCGUGCUGGAGUAUGGGAGAGGUGCGUGGAAUUCCCGGUGUAGUGGUGGAAUGCGUAGAUAUCGGGAGGAACACCAGUGGCGAAGGCGGUUACCUGGGGCUUUGCUGACGCUGAUGCGCGAAAGCGUGGGGAGCGAUCCGG